CCAACAGUUAUUCUCCCUUUCUCUACUUAGGUUUGGCUUUCAAUUUCUGGUUCUAGGGAGAGGUCCUCAGAUUAUUCACUUAUCUGUGUAAUUUUGAGUUUGGAAUCUGUGAUCUGAUGGGAAGUGAGGCCCUUACCUCACGUUGCCGUCUGGGGUUCGUUUCCUGGUGUUGGGUGUUCUGAGUCUGUUGUUCAUGGCUCCUUUUUCUCUUCCUGCUUCUUGCUUCUUCAAAUUUUUGGAGUUGUUUUGGUGGGUUUCGGUUGAUCCAUGACGAGCUAUGACAUGUGCUGAGUUAAUUUGUUCAGUGAAUCACUCCAUUUUCACAUGAGCUCAUAGAUCGAUCUGAUUUUCGUUUCUGGGAGAAAAACUCGUUUUUGUCCAAUUUGAAUAUUUUCUGGAGCUUGGAUCGAUUAUAGGCAAUGAUUUUUUGGGGAAUAGUUUCGUUUCCAGUUGAAUUUGAUCUAUGCAAAGUUUGGGAGCGAUUCCUUUUGUUUUGACUGAGUUCUAAUCGAUUUUGUGCUCGCUCUUUUCUGUUCUUUCAGUUUCCGUGUUUCUCGCGCAGCCCCGAACCCAAGCCACUGCAGCCGCGUUCUUCUUCAGGUCCCCGACGUUUGGCCGUGCACAGCAGCAGUGCUUCAGGCUUCAGCACUGGGAAGUUCAUGGCACAAGGCAGUAGCACUACCAGCGCUGGUGCCUAAGCACCGAGCGUGCUCGCUGAGCAGUACUUGCUCCUUGGCCCUGCUGAAAUUCCGGUCAGCAGCUCCCUCAGUUUUUUUUUCAGCUUGUUUUGCUGCAUCUUGUUUGCUGUUCGUGCAGUUGCAAGCAGGGGAUCGUUCGUAGGUGCAAACUAAAGCAGAUUCAGCACUGGUGUUUUUUUGAGCAAGUGGACCAGCUCAUUCUUACAUGUUUCUGAUUAGUCAAUGGUUUAGUUUUAGCAUCUCGUGUGCUUUCUGUGCUUGAUUUUGAUUGGUCAAGUUUGCUACUUGCACUCGUGGUAGUGUCCAGCUCUCAUCAGUACGGCUUAUAUUUGAUUUCUCUGAACUCAAUUUCAAUCAAUGCAGUAUCUGUUUGUUGGUACAAGUUCAGGAUUCUAGGGCCAACAGUUUCAUUGUCUCAGCUCUGAACCGUGCAGCACAUUUAGGUCCAAGUGGCCCAUUCGUUUUGGUCCAGUGCUAGUGAGAUGUUUGAACGAUUUUCUGACUGAUUUUUUAGUGUAAUUUUUCAGACCUUGAUUUCUUGUUUUGUCCGCAGUUUGGUCGUUUGAGCUCGGAAUCGGAUUCCGUCAGUUGCGUUGGUUUUCUAUUGUUACAGGAAAUUUAUCUAAGUGCUCUUGUCACCGGUUGG
rnacentral:lncRNA from 1 species